rnacentral:tRNA from 1 species
GCCAGCGUAGCUCAGGGGUAGAGCGAGGAUUUCAUAAGUCCGAGGUCAGAGGUUCGAAUCCUCUCGCUGGCACCC